rnacentral:rRNA from 1 species
CACUCCUACGGGAGGCAGCAGUGGGGAAUAUUGCACAAUGGGCGCAAGCCUGAUGCAGCCAUGCCGCGUGUAUGAAGAAGGCCUUCGGGUUGUAAAGUACUUUCAGCAGUGAGGAAGGUGGGUAUGUUAAUAGCAUAUUCAUUUGACGUUUAGCUGCAGAAGAAGCACCGGCUAACUCCGUGCCAGCAGCCGCGGUAAUACGGAGGGUGCGAGCGUUAAUCGGAAUUACUGGGCGUAAAGCGCAUGCAGGUGGUUUGUUAAGUCAGAUGUGAAAGCCCGGGGCUCAACCUCGGAAUUGCAUUUGAAAACUGGCAAACUAGAGUACUGUAGAGGGGGUAGGAAUUUCAGGUGUAGCGGUGAAAUGCGUAGAGAUCUGAAGGAAUACCGGUGGCGAAGGCGGCCCCCUGGACAGAUACUGACACUCAGAUGCGAAAGCGUGGGGAGCAAACAGGAUUAGAUACCCUGGUAG